GAUGAACGCUGGCGGCGUGCCUAAUACAUGCAAGUCGAGCGAACGGACGAGAAGCUUGCUUCUCUGAUGUUAGCGGCGGACGGGUGAGUAACACGUGGAUAACCUACCUAUAAGACUGGGAUAACUUCGGGAAACCGGCGCUAAUACCGGAUAAUAUUUUGAACCGCAUGGUUCAAAAGUGAAAGACGGUCUUGCUGUCACUUAUAGAUGGAUCCGCGCUGCAUUAGCUAGUUGGUAAGGUAACGGCUUACCAAGGCAACGAUGCAUAGCCGACCUGAGAGGGGGAUAGGCCACACUGGAACUGAGACACGGUCCAGACUCCUAAGGGAGGCAGCAGUAGGGAAUCUUCCGCAAAGGGCGAAAGCCUGACGGAGCAACGCCGCGUGAGUGAUGAAGGUCUUCGGAGCGUAAAACUCUGUUAUUAGGGAAGAACAUAUGUGUAAGUAACUGUGCACAUCUUGACGGUACCUAAUCAGAAAGCCACGGCUAACUACGUG
rnacentral:rRNA from 1 species